UAAGAAAAAUCAGCCUGUCUGUUUAUUCCAGUUCUUCAGGAUUACUUCAGCUGCAUCUAGUGUGCUGUCUUUCUGCAAAACAAGAAACAGCACUAUUACUGCAAGUAUGGAGUUCCUGAAAAGAGUCAGUCAUGACUGUAUAAUCUCAAAUCAGUAUUUGGUUGUUUCAGUUGCGUCCUGUAAAUAUCUUUUCAGCCAGUUUUUCAUUGACAGUUGUUAGGUACAAAUCUAGACUAUACAAAGAAUUCAAUGCUGAUUCCUUGAAAAUAUUUAUUAGAUAUAUUUAAAAGAUAUAAUCUCAGCAUUCAUAUUUUCCCAAUUAAUGAAAGCAAUACUUACAUAAAUUCAUGGCAUUAAUGCAGUGAUGUAACUUAGCAGCUCUGGUUUGGAGACAUGCUAGCACACUUUCCUAAUCCCUGUGAGUACAGUUGGGAUUUUUCAAACUCCUUGCAACCUUGUUAUGCUGUGAACUACUUAAAUAUAAUCCCUCCAAACUGUGUAGCUUGGCUCCAGCCUGCUGAGUCAUACAGGCAGUCUAACUUGAAACCAUUAGUGCUGUUUACCAGUCACAGGUACAACCAGUAACUUCAUCCUGAUUGUUACUGGCUCAGUUUUUUUACCAUAGAAUUUACACCUCUUCAAAAGAAGUAAGUAACACAAGGAGAAACUCCCCUUCAUUACUGUUUCAGGCUAAGGCUCUGAUCUCUAUACAGAGCAGCUCAGGAUUUCCACAUGUUCCAUUACGCUGACUCUGUUGUAGAACAACUGGGAAACAUACUUAGGGCUUUGGGUUUAUCAGAGUUUACCUACCUGUCCCCAAAGCCUUUCAGCCUUUCAAGAACAGAUUAACAGGGGGAAGAAUAUGUGCAAAGAAGGUGCUCACAAAAUGGCAAAAAUCAGCCAAUUCAGUUUUCUUUUGUAAUUUGGAGCUCAUGUGUAACUCUGUAUUUUCAGGCAAGUGAGCUAGAUUUGAAGGUGACCUCUUCACUUUUUUUUUGCUGUUGGACACUGAAUGGACAGGGGGCACACACUCUGCUAUACAGUUAUUCUCUGCUCUGGAUUACAGGAAUUGCUGCAGGGAUCAGGAACCAAACCUUUUGAAAACCAACUGACAGAGAAAUUGCACUGAUACAUGGAUCCCCCUUCCAUAAUUUGCACUAAAAACUGAAGAAAGCAGUUUUAAUCAGCUUUCAGAAUGCACAAAUUAAAGCAAAUAAGAAACAUUGUCGCACCUUCUCCAACAGUAAUAAAAUAUUCUCUUUUGGAUUAUCAAGUCUCAGACUUACACUCUAGCAAUCUAUCUCAUUUUUAUGUAAUUUGAUAUUACAAAAAAUUAUACAGAAAAGCAUCCUAUAGGUGUUCAUCAAACUGUAUUGAACAUGGAUGAGAAGCUUUAUAUAAUUAGUAAUUUUUAAAAGUUACUCACACAUCUUAGUGGGAUAAAAACAGGCUUUGCACCCGCCAUCUUUACCAUUGGCUCAUAACAGUCAUAAAAUGGCUCUAUUAUUAUUACCUGAAAUGACAAUCAUCAGUGUCAGAAACAAAGAGUUUACUGUGCAUAACAGAACUAUUCCAAACAAAAGAGAAGGGACUAUUAGAGCAACAGAAAAGCAAGUUGAGAAUACAAUAUACCAGUGAAACAAAUGAAACACUGAAAGCAAAAUAUACAACAAUACAAAAAGGUUUUGUCCACUAUGGAUAGAAAUAUUCCAGUAAAAUGACUUUUUAUAUCAUUGGCUCAAAAAGGCAGACAUCAGUAAUAGUGAAGAGCUGAGUCAUCACAGCUAGUAUGGUAACUAACAAACUUUUCUGCUACCUACGCUGCCACCAUGCACCUCAUACACAAUGGUUACCCAAACACCAAUAAUUCUUUGUGCCACCCUUAGCUGUCUGUUGCAGACAUCCCACAUGCUUUCUCAAAUAAGAAAUCAGUGUGUUUUGUGUCACCUAACAGUAACAGUGAUAAAGAAACUGCCACAGAUACUACAAGUGUGAAAAAAGGUGAUUGUAAAAUUGAUGAGUGAUAGGAAGAUAUCCAAAGGAUAGUCUCCUAACCACAGCUUCUGAAACUGUAAGUCAGAUGUACAACUGUAAAAAAUCAAACCAAUAGGGACAGAAAGAAGCCCCAACAUUAAUUUAUAUUUAGAAGUAGACAAAUAAGAAAAAGGGAAAGACAUUCAUGUCUGUGAGUACAUGUGAAUAUUUCCAGUAAAAACUUACUUCAUCUCCCUCUUCAAUUAGUGCCUGUAUUGUACUAAAGAGGGAUCCAUAAGCUCCCACAGUCACCAGGAUAUCUGUGAGAGGAUCAAUCUUUCUUCCACAAACUUUCUCAUAGACUUGAGACAAGGCUUUCACCAGUGAUGGAUGUCCCUGUUCAAAACAAAAAGAAAGUAACAGAUUGGAGUGUGCCUGACAAUGUAUAAAGCCUGUGUUUGGGGUUUUUACUAUGUGUAUCAAACGAUGACAUUUUGAAAUAGAAAAAUACAACAUUAGCCCUCAGUGUUAAUAGCUGUUAACAGGUAACAGGGUUUAAACUUUUUGCAUACUAGGAAAGAAAAGCUUGUUUUCAAUUUAUCUGUAUCUACUUGGAAACUCUUUUUCUGUCUGGUGCUUUUUAAUUUCUUUCAUAUUAUCACAUCUCAGAGUGGGUCCAGAUUGCCUAUAGCCUAGCUAGGACAAGAGACAGAAGGAGAGAAGGGAAUACUCUGACACUAAUUUACCCUCAGCUCUUUUUGAGUCUCUUUCAGCUCCUUCUGUUUCCUUUCUUAUCUUUCAACUAAAAGUAUUUGGUGCGAGGAAAAUCUUUUAAUUGUAUUUAUAUAUUGCUGAUAAAUAGCAUUUGUGAUCAAAAUAGUUAUUCAUAUAGUCACAUCCCAAACCUAAUGCAUGCAGACUCUCAGAGAAGAGGCAAAAAGUUAUGUUGGAAUAUGCACACAGUGAUACCAUAACUACCAACACAGUUUCUGGACCACUGGCCUAUCCAAUGCUUUUCUGGCCCUGUUGCAUGGGGCAGAAACAUGGUCAGCUAGAAAAAUACUUGAUAGACUCCUUAGGGUCUUGUAGCAGUCCUGGCACAUGAUUCUUAUUUGGGCAAUAUAACUUGUCACAAAACAGAAGACAGACAAACCAAACAACGAACUGGUCAUACCAAAACAGUAACAGUCCCCUGGAAUACCCUGCCUUGGACAGUGAUAAAUGCCAUAUACUCACACCCAGCUCAAGACAGAAACUCUACAAGUGAGCUUCAGAAUGUGUAAUAAAUAAAUUAUAGGGGCAAAACUUCCUGUUUUCAUCCCUUCCUCGUCUCCACUGAAACCUACUAAGUUCUGUUGGUGAAUGUCUUCUUGAUCCUAGAGGUGCUGUCUCAAGUGGUAUCAAGUAUUUCUUUCUCAUUCUCCCAUUGUACUGUCUGAUUCAUGUUCCCACUGACCAAAGUCAGAGGCAAAUGUAUAACCUAGACUCUUCAAACUGAAUCAGCUCCUCAGAGACCUCCCAGACCUGCUCUACCAUUCUGCUCUUGCUGAAGGAUUCUGCCUCAAAGAAGCCUACAUAGAGGAAGUCCAUUAGUAACAGAUAAGGCUACUAGGUGAACUUAAUUUGGGACAUAUCUAUGAUCUAUAGAUAAAACUAAUUUAACCUCAUUUUUUCCCCUCUGGCACAUUUUCCACUGAACCUGGGUCCUGGAGUUCCACAACACUUACAAAGCCUCGGGUGUACUGGUUCAGUCUGUCAACUGCUGCAACCUUUGCCAGCUCUUCUUUAACGUAGCUGGGAGGGGAUAUAUCAGGAAGGCCUUGACCAAGAUUAACUAUUGAGGGAUCUGCUGCCACCUUUGUAAAUUCAACCCUGGAAGGAAAAGCAUCUUAAAGUUAACAUAACAGAUAAAAUUAUCUUUUUAUUCAUUAGCACUAGAAAAGUAUUUCAGUUUGCCAAAUUUACAGCAAUGGGAACAGGUUUAAGUAGAAUGGAGAGCUGAGGGCUGAAAUAAUGUAAAUGGUCACACAAGUCAGAGGGCAUCCAAGAAAAGAUUGAUGUUCUGCAUCCACAGAAUAACAUUUCUGGUAGAAGUGUGCUCAGAUGUGCAGAUAUACAAGCACAUAGUUACUCUGGAUAUGUGCAGAAAUUGAAUACCAGGCACAUUAAAUCUCCUAAAGAUUAAACUCAGUCAGUUUAAGGUGUCAUUUAAACUACACAGUCACCUCAGACUGCUAUAAUUUUUUUAAGUAAUUUUAGGCAACAGACUGUUUCAGGCUGCCUAUUAACUGUUUCUAAUAGCCUGCAGGAUCCUUGAACAAUUUUUCCUUCUUCCCUUCACAGGUCAGCUUUACAUUUUACUCUUUCCUCCCUACUGAAAUGUUAACAAGAUUUAAAAAACAAAACAAAACAACCCUCUCCCCAUCAUAACACUUCCCACAUAGCAUCACAGUCCUGUCAAAAAUACAAAUUGCUAAAAAUUAGCUUGAGGCUGAAUAAUCAAAACACCUUGUGUAUAUGUACACACAACUAAUGCAACACAUACAUACAACUAAGGUAAGCCCAAAAUAGUCUUUUCACCAACUAAGAAAAUUCCAUAUUUAUCAGUGAUGGCAAUAUUGCUGUAAGACCAAUUUAAUACCUAGAAAAAGAUGUAUUAAAAUGAUGAGCCAAAUUAUAAAACAAGUAUAAGGGUUUAUUAUAAAACAAGUAUAAUGGCUUUAAAAAAAUCUGACUUGGUUGGUAAACACAAAUCAGCUGUAAUUGAAAUACAUUAUUCAACAGAAUUAACAUUUAAAUUUGAAAAGCAACUACCAUGCCCAUGAGUUAUACUUGUCUUACAUGGUUUAAUAGAUGAAUAGAAGCCCAAGCCUAAUAUUUAAAGCACAAAAAUAAAAAUUAAUCAUAACUUUAAUUGAAUUUAAUUCACCGCUUCUAAACAGGUGCUAAAUAUAUUCCAGCAGAAAUAGCAACUGCCAUGUAUUUUAUUAUUAGCAAUAAUUUUUUUUUUUUUUAAAGAAAAUACAUCAGCCAAGGACAUUUUCUGAAAUUUGCAGAUAUUUUCCUCUUACUUACCACACAUUGCUAUCAAGGCCUUCAAUUCGUCUUGUAUUUUUGUGUCUGAAGGGCAUUGUCUGCAAGAUCAAAACAUGCAGACAGAAGGGUUUUGUUAAGAAGGACAAAGUAAGAUAUUGUUGGAUUCAGCAUGAAAACCCUCCUUCAUGCUCUCAAAUAUACCAUUGCCAGCUGAAUUCGGUAAUUACACAGAAUUAUAGACACGUUCUCUCAUUAAAGCUUCCAUAAUAGCUUGAAUUCAGACUGACAAGAAAAUACAAAAAACGUCCUAAAUUCUCAUUCAUCAUUAUCUAAAUCCACUAGUGCAUCUCUAAAACAUUGCAUGAAAUAUGAAAUAUUUUCUCUGUGGAGCUGAAGGAAUACUUACUGCAGAGGUGGAAUGUUUGAUGGAUCUGGAAAGCAAAUCUGUUCUUAGCUUAAUGCCACGGCAACAGAAGUUUCGUGAAGCAAGAAACAUGCCUGCAUAAUAAAUAAAAACUCACAGAUUCUAGGAAGGAGUUCCUCCACACCACUAAGCAAUUUUAAGAUAAGAUCCGCUCCUCUUCCCCCAGUGAUUUUGUUUCAGCUAAGUAAGUGCUGCUAAAUGAUUACCUGGUCACAGAUGUAAGCAUAGAGGAUGAAACUCUCUAAUUGACAGGGCUGAAAAAUGUUUCAGAGUGUCAUCUCAAAGGAAGGUUUCCUUUAUUUGAAAACAUUGAUCUUUCUUUUCUUUGAAUAAUAGGUAAGACUAAAUGCAAUUCAAGCUUCAAUGUCUCUGUUAGAAUUCUUGUGAAAAUAUGUUUGUGUAAUAAAAAUUGCUAUUAAAAUUGCUAAUAUAGAAUAGAAAAAGAGCUAAUUUUUUAAAACUUACACAUCUUUAAAACUCGUCUCCAUUUCCAAGUGUUUCAAAUCAGGUAUGCUGAAAUCAGGAUAAUUAAGAUGACCAGUCACACUGGAGAGGGAGGCCUAUGAACUUUAUGUAACUACAAUAAGUUUUGUCACAGUGACUUGGCAAACAUUAAAUAUCUCCCACAGCUGAAAACAGCUAGAAAAGGCACUUUGUGUAGAGUAACAUCACUCACAGACUGGAGAAAAUGUGUCCUGUUAAUUAAUAACUAUCAAAAAAGAAAUAAAAACUGGUACUUCGUGCAACUAUUUCCAGAAGACACUUUAAAACAUAUAUUUUAGAUUACAUUGCCACAAUGACUGAAAUGUGUUAGACACAUGGAACCCACAAAAUCUAAUGUCAGAAACACUGUAGCCACAGCAGAAUAAUUAUUAACUUUGUUUUCCAUCAUUUGCUCAUUAAAGGGUACAUAACUUCUGUUUCCCCCCUGGCUUUGCUACCUGAGAAGAGGAAGAGAGCAAAAAAAGAAAAAACAUACUAUUUGUAUUAGAAACAAAGGAAUGCCAUUGCCUCUUAAAACGAUAACAUGCGAGCCUCGUGAUAAAACGUAAAUCAACAGCACAGUAAAAGAUGAUGUUUUCAUUAGAAGAAUGCUUUUAGUCCAACAAGAAAGUGUCCUUUACACUUAUUAACUAAUAGAAAAGGCCAGUCAGAGAUGCCUGAAUGCAUAAGUUUCAAAAGUAUGCUGAUUUUGCCCUUCUCUUACUCCUGUGCUACAAACUCAGUUCCACUUCUGAAAUUAGGGUCUUUCUCACACACUACUGUGCUGUGGCCAAUUAGACCUUCAGAAUAGCCCCAUAAUCCCAUUGCAUUUAGCAAUCUGCAAGUAAACAAUUUAUGUUCAUUUACAAGAAGAAACUCUGCUAGUCUGAGGACUAAUAAAAGUAAACAGCAAGAAAAUCUUUGACACUAGUCAUCAGAUACUCUUAAAGACACAGAAGAAAUACAUGUGCUUUAAAAAAAACCCAGAAAAUCCAUUUCAAGUGAUUUCUAGUAAUAUCACUUAGCACAUUCAAGAUUAUCUUUGAGAAUAACUAUGCAAAAUCAAAAAUAUUAUUAAGGUCUCUAUUGCUCCCCUUGUGUAAGGUUACAAAAACUACUUGUGUAACAUACUGAUGCUAUCUUAAAACAUAACCAUGACAUUGGUGCUAUUCCCCAGGGUCAGGCCAAAGAGAGCACAACUCUUGCAGCCCACUGUGAACACUUGCAGUUGUUAGUGCAGAGAGACAAACAUGCAUACCUUUGCCUGUUUCAUUUUGUAUUGAGAAAUAUAAAACUUAAACAAAAAACAUGCAAGCCUUACAUGCAGAACUAACUUGCAAGUGAGAAAUAUUGCUGACAGUUGUAAAUAUUCCCAGCAUUAGUGCCAUGGUGCACAAAAACCAGAAACAUUAUCUGACACGAGGCAAUCACACAAAACCACCACACUGCACGAGCAGCAGCAGAC